rfam:Brassica oleracea var. oleracea cultivar TO1000 chromosome C9, whole genome shotgun sequence
GGAAGUUAAGAAACUGUUUCUUAACUUUUAACUCAAAAAACUAAAAAUCGGUUCUUAAAUAAGGACUUUAAGAACAGGUUCUUAUUUUUUUAGUUAAAAGUUAAGAAACAGUUUCUUAAUUUCC